UACGGAGGGUGCAAGCGUUAUCCGGAUUCACUGGGUUUAAAGGGUGCGUAGGCGGGCAGGUAAGUCCGUGGUGAAAUCUCUGAGCUUAACUCAGAAACUGCCAUGGAUACUAUUUGUCUUGAAUGUUGUGGAGGUAAGCGGAAUAUGUCAUGUAGCGGUGAAAUGCUUAGAUAUGACAUAGAACACCAAUUGCGAAGGCAGCUUAUUACACAAAUAUUGACGCUGAGGCACGAAAGCGUGGGGAUCAAACAGG
rnacentral:rRNA from 1 species